ensembl:snRNA U1 U1 spliceosomal RNA
AUACUUACCUGGUGGAGGUGACACCAUGAUCAGGAAGGUGGUUCGCCCAGAGUGAGACCUGGCCAUGGCACUUGGGCCUCGUUGACCUUUGCGAAUUCUCCUAAAGUGGGAAUCUCGACCGCACAAUUUCUGGUAGUGGGGGCCUGCGUCCGCGCUCGCCCUUC